AUUGAACGCUGGCGGCAUGCUUUACACAUGCAAGUCGGACGGUAACAGGCCGCAAGGUGCUGACGAGUGGCGAACGGGUGAGUAAUGCAUCGGAACGUGCCCAGUCGUGGGGGAUAACGCAGCGAAAGCUGUGCUAAUACCGCAUACGAUCUAUGGAUGAAAGCGGGGGACCGUAAGGCCUCGCGCGAUUGGAGCGGCCGAUGUCAGAUUAGGUAGUUGGUGGGGUAAAGGCCUACCAAGCCGACGAUCUGUAGCUGGUCUGAGAGGACGACCAGCCACACUGGGACUGAGACACGGCCCAGACUCCUACGGGAGGCAGCAGUGGGGAAUUUUGGACAGUGGGCGCAAGCCUGAUCCAGCAAUGCCGCGUGCAGGAAGAAGGCCUUCGGGUUGUAAACUGCUUUUGUACGGAACGAAACGGUCUGGGUUAAUACCCUGGGCUAAUGACGGUACCGUAAGAAUAAGCACCGGCUAACUACGUGCCAGCCGCCGCGGUAACAC
rnacentral:rRNA from 1 species